UACGUAGGUGGCAAGCGUUGUCCGGAUUUACUGGGCGUAAAGAGCGCGCAGGCGGUCGUUCAAGUCGCGUGUGAAAGCCCCCGGCUCAACUGGGGAGGGUCACGCGAUACUGAUCGACUCGAAGGCAGGAGAGGGAAGUGGAAUUCCCGGUGUAGUGGUGAAAUGCGUAGAUAUCGGGAGGAACACCAGUGGCGAAGGCGACUGCCUGGCCUGUUCUUGACGCUGAGGCGCGAAAGCGAGGGGAGCAAACGGG
rnacentral:rRNA from 1 species